AUGGAUACGUCUGUAGAGGAGCUGCAGGAUUCCUUCAAGAGACUCACAGCAGAGGGCUCCAAAGUGAUUGACGUGAAUGAGGAGCUUGAGGCCACCUACAUCACGCAGUGUGAAGCAGAGGGCACACCGGAGCUGAUGGGCCAACAGAGAGCAGAUGUCGAGAAAAUGGAGAAAGAAUGUGAGCAGAAGUUGAAGGAGGCGAAGCACCUGAUCAGAGAGACCCUGUGGACAUCAUAUGGUGAAAGAGAACUGACCCUUGCUCUAAAAUCAGCAGAAAUGGAGUGUGAGAACGUCUCAUCCACUCAGCCUGAUGCACCCCUGGAGGCAUAUGAUUUUAUGCUCCACCAUCUAGAACUGGUGAAGAAAGCUAAGCAGGCACACCAGACAUGGAACCGCAGGACUCCACCUGCUGAGAGGCGAGAUUGUGAUCGUCGACUAAUGGAGCUCGAAACCUGCCUUCCAAAGCUUGUGUCAGGGAAAGCAGCCCUGAUCAAAGCAGAGAGAAUUAAAAGAGAUGCCGACCAAGCAGUUGUCACAGUCCGCAACGCAGCCCCGGUCUCAGCCAUAAAACUGAAAGCCACAGCUUUACCAAAGUUCACCGGCAGCCAGCGUGAGUUCUACAGAUGGCGGAAGGAAUGGGAGGCUCUGCAAAAGCAAGGUGAACCAACCGGGUCCAUGGAAGUAAAGAAAUUCCAACUUCUCGAUAGCCUCGAUGAUAAAGUGGCCAAAGAUCUGCGCCUGUCCACAUACACCUCGGCAGAUGAGAUCUUCAGAGUCCUUGAGAACUGCUAUGGAAAUCAAGCCACCAUCGCCAUUGAAAUCAUUGAGGAGCUUCAAGCUAUCCCUCCUGUCCGUAGCAACCAGCCUAGAAGAAUAAUAGAGCUUAUCCACGCAGUUGAAAAGGCCCUCUAUGAUUUAAAUGAGCUGGAUAAAGCAAAUGCCAUGAAGAACCUAUUAGUAAUAAAGUCUAUUGAAAGCAAGCUGCCUGAGUCCCUAAAGAAAGACUGGCUUACCCACGCUGCUGAUCCAAAGAAUGCUGUGACUCAUCAGAAUCAGUUUGACAAGCUGCUCGCCUACCUCCAAUCUCAAGAGUCCAUCUACGAGCAGUUAGACCAGCUGAGAGACAUCGACCCUGCCAAGGAGAGAACAAAGUUCCCAAUAAAGUACGCCCGUACCAAGUCAGUUAAAUCCAGUACUGAUCCAGCAGGCUGCAUCAUCUGUGGGGACCCGAAACACAAGAGAAAGCUCUACAUCUGCAGACGGUUUAGAACCAACACAAAGUUACAGGAGAAAAAAGAUGCAGUGCAGCAACUUGGAGCCUGCAAGAGGUGCCUCGAGAUCCACGACGAACCCUGCAGAAAGACGACUUACCUGUGCCGAAAUCCAGAGUGCAAAGACCAGCAUCAUUACCUUCUUUGUCCCUUGCCACGACCCUUAUCACAAAGGUCCAAGUCUGGUCCGGUGAGAGCUGAGAGGAGGAGGUACACAGAGGUUCAAGAAGAGUUCAUCUCUAAACUAUCGCCAGAGCUAGCACAGCAGUGUCGGGAAGCUUUCUGCAACAUCUCAUCACGAGCCUUCAACUCCAUGGCAGCAGAGAGAGGUCUACUGGAGGAGACUGGUCUAAAAGAGUACCCUGUGAUUCUGAUGCUCCUUGACGUCAUUGCCAGUGAUGGACAGAGAAUUGGGACACUAAUUGAUCUAGCAUCUGACACAAAUUACAUAAACCACAAAGCUGCAAGUAAGCUCAACCUUCGCAGUGAAGACGUCAUGCUUGUCAUCCACGGUGUCGGAGGUAUGAAGGUGUCUGUGGCAACCAAGCGCUACCUUCUCAAGAUCCGUGUCAACACCUCGAGAGGAACUUUAAAGCCUCACCAGUUAGUCUGCUAUGGUCUUGACAAGAUUGCUGAAGUGAAAAGACACGUUCCACCUCAGAAGCUACAGAAGAUCUUCCCGGACGUCCCGCUCCGAGACCUCGUCAGACCCAGGGAGAUCCAGCUUCUAAUCAGCCAUAAAGAAGGCCAGCUGGUGCCCAAAAAGAUCCGCUCCAUCGGUGACCUGGUGCUCUGGGACGGUCCACUUGGCAAGACAAUCGGGGGCACGCAUCCAGACCUCUUUGAGGAAGUCACCUUGAUGGCCCACACCUCCAAGACUCACUUCGCAAGAUCAAUGAGAGCUGCUGCAUUCAAGUACCAAGAGUUCACUAAAGACCUGGCUUCCUGUCAGCAUCCUGGUCACCCUGAGACUCUAUCCACCACAGCUACCAGCAGCAGAGACUUUCUGAAGUGGUGGAGGUGGGAAAGCAUCGGAGCCGCUUGCCAGCCGAGAUGUGGAGGGUGUCGUUGUGGGAACUGCCAGCCAGGGGGGUAA
ensembl:lncRNA